AAUGAACGCUGGCGGCAUGCCUUACACAUGCAAGUCGAACGGCAGCAUGACCUAGCUUGCUAGGUUGAUGGCGAGUGGCGAACGGGUGAGUAAUGCAUCGGAACGUGCCUUUUAGUGGGGGAUAACGUAGCGAAAGUUACGCUAAUACCGCAUAUUCUCUGAGGAGGAAAGCAGGGGGCCUUCGGGCCUUGCGCUAGAAGAGCGGCCGAUGUCGGAUUAGCUAGUUGGUGAGGUAAAGGCUCACCAAGGCAACGAUCCGUAGCGGGUCUGAGAGGAUGAUCCGCCACACUGGGACUGAGACACGGCCCAGACUCCUACGGGAGGCAGCAGUGGGGAAUUUUGGACAAUGGGCGCAAGCCUGAUCCAGCCAUGCCGCGUGAGUGAAGAAGGCCUUCGGGUUGUAAAGCUCUUUCGGCUGGGAAGAAAUCGCACUCUCUAAUACAGGGUGUGGAUGACGGUACCAGCAGAAGAAGCACCGGCUAACUACGUG
rnacentral:rRNA from 1 species